UGGAGAGACAGGACCUCAGGCGAGAGGUGGAGAGACAGGAACUCAGUCGAGAGGUGGAGGGACAGGACCUCAGAACUGGCAAGGACCUCCAGGACAGUGUUGAAUAGAAGUGUCAAAAGAGGCAUCUCCCUCACUGCCAGGCUCAGAGCUACUUGGGAGGCUGAGGCAGGAGAAUCGCUUGAACUUGGGAGGUGGAGGUUUCAGUAAGCCGAGAUCAUGCCAUUGCACUCCAGCCUGGCAACAACAGCAAAACUCCGUCUCAACAACAACAACAACAAGAACAACAACAAAGAAGUUUUCUCUCUUUUUCUGUUCCUGGAAGAGUUUUAUUUGAAAAAUUGGAAACAACCGAAGUAUUUAUGACAAGGAACAACCCCAGCACAUUUUUUAUUAAAUAAAGUAAUUUUCAG